CUCUUGAGGAUACAGACAUCUUUUUAUCCUAUAUUUAUUUUUGAUGGAGAAAGUGCUGGCACCAAACUCAUCAGUUACAAUCGAAUGAAGUUUUUGUUAGAGUCUCUAGAGGAUCUGGACAAUCAGUUUUCGAGCCAAAAGGAGGAAAAGCUCUAUGUCUUCUUCGGGUCACCCAUAGAAAUUUUGCGAAAUUCAAAGCUCAUCUCAAUUUCUACAAACUGACUUUUGAGCAGCACACUGUGUCUGUGAUUGGGCCUCCACCGAGGCCGGUUGAGGAUCCUUGUUGGGAUGGAAUAAAGUUGGUGUGCUACCAGAUAGUUUGAAGCGUGAACUUGAUGUCAGAGACAAGAUUCCUGUUCCAGCCGAUUUUAAACCUCAAACCGGAAUUGAAGCAGUCGGAAUACACUAUCGAAUGGUUCGGAGGGGAAAUCAAGCUCUGUCCAAUUUGCGGAAGAGAAUUGCUGUGGAGGAGAAAGCUUUUCGACAAGGAUUUGUCAACCGAACCAAACUCAGCCGGAUUUGCUUGGUCCCCAACAAGUCAGUCCGCAGCAUUAAGAUAUGGAUGCUUGUCUGUCCGGAAGUAUGUACACACUCCGAUUUUCUCUACAUUCAAAAACCUACCUUGAAACCUAGACCAUUCAAUUCUCUUCCUGAAAUUUACAACUUAGUUGUUCUAGGAUAACAGUGUUUCUUCUAUUUGGAUCAUCAUUAUGUGGAAAUUGAAGUUUGCAAAUUGUAAAAUUUGCAAAGAUGUACAAUGAAAAAUAGUCUUCACUAGGUCUUUUUGUUUUUUUUAUACAGAGAAAAUAAUGAAAGGUCUCCUCCAUUCAAAAUUAAAACAUAAGGAAUGGACUGCACAAGUUGUGGAUAAAUUUAA
rnacentral:lncRNA from 1 species